rnacentral:rRNA from 1 species
AUUGUAAAUUAGCAGAACAUUCUGGAAAGUUUGACCAUAGUGGGUGACAGUCCCGUAUGCGAAAAUGAUCAAUCAGGACUCGAGUAGGGCGGAACACGUGAAAUUCUGUCUGAACAUGGGGGGACCACCCUCCAAGCCUAAAUACUCGUAUGUGACCGAUAGUGAACAAGUACCGUGAGGGAAAGGUGAAAAGCACCCCGAUUA